rnacentral:rRNA from 1 species
ACUCAAAUGAAUUGACGGGGGCCCGCACAAGCGGCGGAGCAUGCGGAUUAAUUCGAUGCAACGCGAAGAACCUUACCAAGGCUUGACAUGGGCAGAAAUCCGGCAGAGAUGUCGGGUCCGUAAGGGCUGCUCACAGGUGGUGCAUGGUUGUCGUCAGCUCGUGUCGUGAGAUGUUGGGUUAAGUCCCGCAACGAGCGCAACCCUCGUUCUAUGUUGCCAGCACGUGAUGGUGGGGACUCAUAGAAGACUGCCGGGGUCAACUCGGAGGAAGGUGGGGAUGACGUCAAAUCAUCAUGCCCCUUAUGUCUUGGGCUUCACGCAUGCUACAAUGGCCAGUACAAAGGGCUGCGAGACCGUAAGGUGGAGCGAAUCCCAAAAAGCUGGUCUCAGUUCGGAUCGGGGUCUGCAACUCGACCCCGUGAAGUCGGAGUCGCUAGUAAUCGCAGAUCAGCAACGCUGCGGUGAAUACGUUCCCGGGCCUUGUACACACCGCCCGU